GGAAGUGACAGGAGCUGAGGCAGCUUAGGCCCUGGGGCCUGAGAGCCUGGCUCUCUCUCCAUCAAUGCCACAAGCCACUCAGGACGGAGGGCAGGGAGGAAGAACACCUUCGAGCUCAGAGGGUUAGAGGAGUGACAGAGAGGGACUCGGACCGACCGAGUGGAGGAAGACACACAAAGAAAUGGCAGAGAUGGGGGAAGACACAGCACCUGUCCUUCCGAGCUCCUCGGAGUCUUCCUGAUCAGUUUCCCCCAACCAGAAGAGCUCUUCCUUCCCCCACCCCACCUGUUCACCUGCUCCAGCUUUUUGGUGUUCUGUGAAGCUCUGCAUGCACAGCCCACAAGCAAACCACUCCAAGAAUGCAGCGCCAAGAAAACAGUUCUACAGGAACAAGCCUGCUUCCUUUCACCAGAAACCCAGAAAGCUACAGAAUCCACUCUGAUUCCCUUUAGACCCUGACUACCAGG